rnacentral:rRNA from 1 species
AUGGCUAGCCAAAUAUCUGGUACCAUAGCAUCUAGUGGGGUGUGCUAUAAUGAUAAACACAGAAUGCCGUGUAAGCUGAAAGCACUACGCUGCGUAGCAUCGAAUUGUUUACCACUAGAGGUAGAGGUAAGGAAGUGGAUGAACGGAUAUCAUAUCAUCAGGUCCUUUCCAAACGAUAGGCAUUGGAAAACGAAUGCGAAGUCCAAUGGUUACCUACUCCAACAAGGUCCGAAUGUUUGGUGCCAUUCUUAUGGUUCUCGUAGUGCCAGUGAAACUAAAGAGUGCAAUAUUCCUGAAGAUGGCAACAAUCCUUACAGGGAUUUUGAUGAGCAUCCAAGAGGAAUGUCACAUUUUUCAGAUAGUCAAGUUGCAGCUCAGGAAAAAACACUAUAUUCUACUCAAGGGCUGUCUAAAGCGUGCCAAUUUGUCUAUAAUGAUGCAAAGUUUGUGAAUGAAAGAGCUCAGAGUGAUAUUCUUUUGCUUUCACGUGGCAUCACAAGGUUGAACAAACGUGCAUCUAAGGAUGUUGCUGUAUUAGGAUUGGGGUUUCUCAAGCUUGAUGCUCGUGCAAGGAAGGACACCCGAAAGAUUGAUAACAGUGUGAAGGAACGGGCAGCCCACCUAACCAAUUUUGCUAGAAUAUUGAAGGAGCGAGCUCAUUCAGACUUGAAGAAAGCAGCAGAUCAACAUUGGAGUGAUGGUGCUUUGGAGGCAGAUCUGCGACGAGCUGACAUGGUUGUUCGACGACGUGCCAUGGAGGAUGCUUUCAUGGCUUUAAAGUUUGUUCGGGGUAUUCAUGACAUGAUGGCAACCAAACUACAAUAUCAGUUCAUCACACUGGAGAAAAAUGGGAAGAUUCUUAAGUUGUUCCCUCGUGAAGUUUCUACUGAUCAAAUCGCUGCCAUAGAGGAUGCAUAUCUUAAUAUGGCAUCUGCCUUAUCUGAGGCUGAUGGUAUCGACUACACCAAUCCUGAGGAGCUUGAAUUAUUAGUAGCGGCUCUUAUUGACCUGGAUGCUAUGGAUGGGAAAAAGAGUGUUUCCUUGAUAGUUGAAUGUUCAAGCUCUCCAGAUGUUAAUACCAGGAAAGCUUUGGCUAAUGCAUUGGCUGCAGCUCCAUCUAUGUGGACCCUAGGGAAUGCUGGGAUGGGCGCAUUACAGAGAUUGGCUCAAGAUUCCAAUCCCGCUGUAGCUAGCUCUGCAGCAAGAGCCAUUGGCGAACUCAGAAAGCAGUGGGAGCUUGAAGAGGGUGACAGUCUGAGGUUUGUCAUGAACCAAAACUUGAUUUCCGAAGAGACUGACAGCGACAGUUGA